rnacentral:rRNA from 1 species
AGAGUUUGAUCCUGGCUCAGGAUGAACGCUAGCGGUAGGCUUAACACAUGCAAGUCGAGGGGUAACAGGGUUUUCGGAUCGCUGACGACCGGCGCACGGGUGAGUAACGCGUAUGCAACCUACCCAUUGCUGGAGCAUAGGCCGAAGAAAUUCGGAUUAAUACUCCAUAAUGUCAUCAGAUCACAUGCUUUGAUGAUUAAAGUUCCGACGGCAAUGGAUGGGCAUGCGUGACAUUAGUUUGUUGGUGAGGUAACGGCUCACCAAGACUGCGAUGUCUAGGGGGUCUUAAAGGAUGAUCCCCCACACUGGUACUGAGACACGGACCAGACUCCUACGGGAGGCAGCAGUGAGGAAUAUUGGUCAAUGGGCGAGAGCCUGAACCAGCCAAUCCGCGUGCAGGAUGACGGCCCUAUGGGUUGUAAACUGCUUUUGUAUGAGAAGAACUCCCUGACGUGUCAGGGGCUGACGGUACCAUACGAAUAAGCAUCGGCUAACUCCGUGCCAGCAGCCGCGGUAAUACGGAGGAUGCAAGCGUUAUCCGGAUUUAUUAGGUUUAAAGGGUGCGUAGGCUGAAUAGUCAGUCAGUGGUGAAAUCCUACGGCUUAACCGUAGAACUGCCAUUGAUACUGCUAUUCUUGAGUACAGUUGAGGUAGGCGGAAUGUGUAGUGUAGCGGUGAAAUGCUUAGAUAUUACACAGAACACCGAUUGCGAAGGCAGCUUACUAAACUGUCACUGACGCUGAGGCACGAAAGCGUGGGGAGCGAACAGGAUUAGAUACCCUGGUAGUCCACGCCGUAAACGAUGAUCACUCGUUGUAUGCCUUUUUUGGUAUGCGACUGAGCGAAAGCAUUAAGUGAUCCACCUGGGGAGUACGUCGGCAACGAUGAAACUCAAAGGAAUUGACGGGGGCCCGCACAAGCGGUGGAACAUGUGGUUUAAUUCGAUGAUACGCGAGGAACCUUACCUGGGCUUAAAUGUAGAACGACUUUCGCCGAAAGGCGAUUUUCCUUCGGGACGAUCUACAAGGUGCUGCAUGGUUGUCGUCAGCUCGUGCCGUGAGGUGUCGGGUUAAGUCCCAUAACGAGCGCAACCCCUAUUGUUAGUUACCAGCGGAUUAUGCCGGGGACUCUAACAAGACUGCCACCGUAAGGUGAGAGGAAGGUGGGGAUGACGUCAAAUCAGCACGGCCCUUAUGUCCAGGGCUACACACGUGUUACAAUGGCCGGCACAGAGGGCAGCUACCUGGUGACAGGAUGCAAAUCUCAUAAAACCGGUCUCAGUUCGGAUCGGAGUCUGCAACUCGACUCCGUGAAGUUGGAAUCGCUAGUAAUCGCGUAUCAGCAACGACGCGGUGAAUACGUUCCCGGGCCUUGUACACACCGCCCGUCACACCAUGAGAGUUGGUUGUACCAGAAGUUGUUGGGCUAACCCGCAAGGGAGGCAGGCACCUAAGGUAUGGCUGAUGAUUGGGGUGAAGUCGUAACAAGGUA